UACGUAGGGGGCAAGCGUUGUCCGGAUUUAUUGGGCGUAAAGAGCGCGUAGGCGGCCUGGUAGGUCCGCUGUGAAAACUCGAGGCUCAACCUCGAGAUGGCGGCGGAAACCACUUGGCUAGAGUCCGGAAGAGGAGAGUGGAAUUCCCGGUGUAGCGGUGAAAUGCGCAGAUAUCGGGAAGAACACCUAUGGCGAAGGCAGCUCUCUGGGACGGUACUGACGCUGAGACGCGAAAGCGUGGGGAGCGAACAGG
rnacentral:rRNA from 1 species